UUGGCGCGUCGGCAAGAGAUAUCGAUUUCUGAAUACGCACGUGUUUGUGUUUGUGUUUGUGUUUGUGUCAGAAAUGUAUAUAUUUCGAGCGAUUUCGGGACUAUUCCGUCGCACAGGCACCGGCAGAUUCGGAGCAUCGCCUGCGUCCAUCCCGGGUGCAUGCCACAUCGACAUCCGGGUGCAUGCCGCAUGGACAGUACGGCAGACCGCAAACGGAGCCGUUGCUUAACAUAUGAAGUUCGGUGCUGUCUGUGAUGUUUUGGUCUUGAAGCACCAGCGGCUACAGGAAAUCGACAUCCGGGUGCAUGCCACAUCGACAUCCGGGUGCAUGCCGCAUGGACAGUACGGCAGACCGCAAACGGAGCCGUUGCUUAACAUAUGAAGUUCGGUGCUGUCUGUGAUGUUUAGGUCUUGAAGCACCAGCGGCUACAGGAAAGCACCCCACUGCCGCAUGGCUUUGUAAUAAUUAAACAGAUAAGUAAGAGCGGCACGCUGCAACUCUUCGGAGGCCCCGUGCAUUGGCCAAAGUAAAUGUACAAACAAGGAGCUUGUGUAUUUCAUAGAGAAAUGAAAGCAAAUUAUGUUGGCCUGCUGGUGGCAAGUCGGAUUGCCCAUGCCGGCAAAUGGUAACACAAGCUGGGUGUUCAAGUUAUCAUACGCCGUCAUCUCAGAAUUCCAUUGUGAGAUACGCGGCAGCUUUUGGGAUGAAAUUUAGCGCGAGAGGCGUUGAUGUGACUUUGGCCUCGGUCAAUUGAGGCAGCCAAACUUGUUUGUGCUCAUACGAUUUUUGUUGGCUACAUGCGAGAUACCUUGCAAUAGAGAAUGCUGUAUAGUACCGAUAACGCGUUUCAGCCGGGUGAAAUAUUAUGUUUGGUCCGUUACACACUCA
rnacentral:lncRNA from 1 species